GACCCCAUCGUCUAGUCAGGUCAGGACGCCACCCUUUCAAGGUGAAAACACGGGUUCGAAUCCCGUUGGGGUCACCA
rnacentral:tRNA from 1 species